GGAGGUAUAACUUAGUGGUAGAGCAUGUGCCUAGCAUGUGUGAGGCCCUGGGUUUGAUCUGAGUACUACAGAAAUAAAGAAAAGGAGGGCUGGGGAUAGAGUGGUAGAGUGCUUGCCUCACAUGCACAAGACCCUGGGUUUAAUCCCCAGCACCAUUA
rnacentral:tRNA from 1 species